rnacentral:rRNA from 1 species
UAGCGUAAUCACUUGUUCUUUAAUUGAGGACUUGUAUGAAUGGCCCCACGAGGACUACACUGUCUCCUUUUUCUAAUCAAUGAAACUAGUCUCCCCGUGAAGAAACGGGGAUAAACCUAUAAGACGAGAAGACCCUAUGGAGCUUUAAACAACAAGAGUACCUGCUUUACCUUAAUUCCACUUUCUGAAACCUAAAUCAAUUCAAGCAUCUUACCUCCCAGUUUUAGGUUGGGGUGACCACGGAGAAUAAACCAACCUCCAUGUUGAAAUGAAGCUUAAUCCCUCUAAGCAAAAAGCUACAACUUUAUGCAUCAACAUAUUGACUUCCAUUGACCCAAUAAUUUGACCAACGAACCAAGUUACCCUAGGGAUAACAGCGCAAUCUACCUCGAGAGCUCAUAUCGACAGGUAGGUUUACGACCUCGAUGUU